ensembl:lncRNA
CCUAUUUCUGUAGCUGACUAUCCAACCAAACAAGAAAAACAUACGCAGGCGGUUUUUUGCUGUCGAUGUAUUUAUUUGUUGAUUUUUUUUCUUUCCCCUGUAUGUCUGUUUUUAGCGUUGAGCCUUAACAUAGUAUUUGGCAAUGAUGAACUCACCGUCUUCACAGUAGGCUGCAGAGAAGACAUAACUUUGCACUGUACUUUCCUUCAAAACUGUCAGAACUACACCUCUAUUACGUGGUACAAGUUGAACAAUAACAGCGGUGACAGAUCUACAAUGAAAAUCCUCAAAAAGUCAGAAAGUGUCGUCCAGACUGACAAACCCAACGAUUCUGUGUCACUGGAAAAAAACGCAGCUUUGGUCUUAAGGAAAGUUACUCAAGCUGAUUCUGGGGUGUACACGUGUUUAAUUAAAGCCAAAGCUGGUGGAAAGAACUGUCCAAAUUGGGUUAGACUUAAUAUCUCAGGUAUUUCAUACAUUAUUAAACAACUGUGAAAAUGAACAAAUUCAUAUUCGGCAUAAAAUGUUAUACAGAGUAUUGUACAUUUUCGUCUGGUUUCCUGUGUAUAAAUACAUAUGGCUGUCAAUUCCAGAUGCAGACAAACAAUAUGGCUUUGCUUUGUUAUUUUAGUCUUUUACGUGCAAAAUUCACUUGUUUGAGAUAAUUUCUGGUUAGAUAAUUGUGCCCCAAUUAUCUCCCUAGAUUGUGUGUCAACACCUUCACCCGUCAUCUUUGAAUUCUCCACCAAGUUUAUUAAUGGAUCAUGGUCAAACAUCAGCGUCCCAUUGCCUCAUGUGAAUGACUAUUCAGUGCUUUUUGUCCUGUGGGGUUGUGUAGGACUCGGUGUGAGUAAAAUCAUCCUCAGUGCCAUUUCCAUAUGCGUAAGUAUUUCUAAAUGUAGCGGAUUUAUCUCCAUUUCUUCUGCGCAUUUUAUUUGAAUUAUUAUGUUCAGCAAAGCCUAAGAUGUAGCUAAACACUGACAGGUAAGUAAGUAUGUAAACAAGUUUAAAUGCAAAUGCUCUUAAAGAGAACACUAUUAAUUGACCCUGCAAGUCUGAUCCUAGCUGUUAUUGUGAAAAACUAUUUCUAAGCUAUAAUGGUGAUUGCAUCUGUUCUCAGGUUUUCAAGAAACUCAGAAAACUUAAAAGAAGACAGACUUGAGACCAACCACUGUUUAUCAUCACCUUGUUUGUUUGCAGUUGACUCACCAUACUCUGCAAACUCUGCAAACUUGUGUAAAAGACCAUUGGAUGGUUUAGUGAUUUAACAUGUUAAUACUUAAUCUGUGAAUUUACCUAUGAAUCAUGAUACUCUGAGGAACUGAUACUUUAUAUCUGUUAUAUUUAUUUCCAAAAUGACAUUCCUGUCAUAAGGGCAAAAAAUGGAAGAACAUUUUCUUAAACUUUAAAAUUAUGUUUGGAGGAACUAUGCAUAUUGAAAGUUUUCUGAUGCAUAAUCCAUAUUUAAUACACUGCAAAAGAACAAAUUUUUCUUCAUUAUGGAUUUUUCUUACUAGUGUUAUUCUUGUAUUAUUUAUGUACAUUUGUAGUAUAUUUACUAAAGCAAAUUGUAAAACAAAUAUGUAUUGAUUGAUUGUAUCAAACAAAUUUGUAUCCAUAUUACUGGUUUAAAUUGGCCAGUAAGAAUGUUAAAUUAGUUUAAGCUUUUAUAAAUAUUUCAUUCUCUUUGUUUGUAGGUGUUGUGUGUGAAAUUGGUUUGCUCCAUGUGUGCAAAUUUUCAGAAAAACUAAACAUGAGGUCAUCCUAAAAUAGGUAUACUGUGCUUUUGCCCAUGAAUUGUUGAAUUCCCAAAAAUGGAAAUUAGGCUGCUCUUUACUCACCCACGAGGCAUCCAGUUAUGACUUUCUUCUUUCAGACGAAUCCAGUAAGAGUUAUAUAAAAAAUUGUCUUUGAUCUUUCAAGUUCUAUCAUUGCAGUCAGCGGGUGUUGCAUUCCUUCAGCCAAAAAGAAGUUAAAUAAAAAGCGCCCUUCCAUAAAACAAAGUGUCUCGCACAGCUCGGAUCAGUGGUUCUCAUACUUUUUUCGCCAAGUACCGGCUCAGAAAUAUGUCUCUCUAAGUACCACCAUAACGACCAACAUUAAAAUGACAGUGGCACAAUGCAUAGUUAAACAUUAUAAAUAACAUUAUCACUGCAUUGUGCAUAAAUCCAGGUA